CCCUUAGACACUCUAGGCGGCACGCGCGCUUCAAUGGGUGGAAGAACGUGUUACUGCCUCCGAAAGGAGGGGUGAAUCACGAAUUCUUGCCCGUGAAUGGGAUAGUUUGUUGCAAUUUUCGGACUUGAACUAGGAAUCCCUUGUAAACAUGCUCAAGAAUAGCGUGUUGAAUACGUCCCUGCCGUUUGUACACACCGCCCGUCGUUUCUUCCGACUGAUACUCAUUGUGAGUUGCAAGGACCCUUUAUUGGGAAAUUGCUGCAAAUGCUUUGUAUUGGAGGAAGAAAAAGUCGUAACA
rnacentral:rRNA from 1 species